rnacentral:rRNA from 1 species
UACGUAGGGUGCAAGCGUUGUCCGGAAUUAUUGGGCGUAAAGAGCUCGUAGGCGGUCUGUCGCGUCGGGUGUGAAAAUCCAGGGCUUAACCCUGGACCUGCAUUCGAUACGGGCAGACUAGAGUUCGGUAGGGGAGACUGGAAUUCCUGGUGUAGCGGUGAAAUGCGCGGAUAUCAGGAGGAACACCGGUGGCGAAGGCGGGUCUCUGGGCCGAUACUGACGCUGAGGAGCGAAAGCGUGGGGAGCGAACAGG